UACGUAGGGGGCAAGCGUUGUCCGGAAUUAUUGGGCGUAAAGCGCGCGUAGGCGGACCUGCAAGUCGGGGGUGAAAGCCCGAGGCUCAACCUCGGAACUGCCUUCGAUACUGCGGGUCUCGAGUCCGGGAGAGGUGAGUGGAAUUCCGUAGUGUAGAGGUGAAAUUCGUAGAUAUUAGGAAGAACACCAGUGGCGAAGGCGGCUCACUGGCCCGGUACUGACGCUGAGGCGCGAAAAGCGUGGGGAGCAAACAGGG
rnacentral:rRNA from 1 species